GCCUUUUCAGUUCUAGUGCUAUAAAGUUAUUGAACGCCGUGUAAUAGUGUAUUGAGCAAGCACUACUCUAUUUAGUUAGCUGAUCUGCAUUCAUUUGUUUGUUAACAGGUACAAUACAUUUUCUUCUGAUACUGUAAAGAAAAUGCCCAAAGCAGAUCUGGCUAAUGAGAUAUGGAAACUACAAGAAGCACUUGCUGAGCAAACAGAGAUCUCAAAGAUUAGCCAGGACGAAUUUGAAAGACUCCAAAAUG